AAGGAGGUAAUUGAACCAUGGAGGCCAGUCUUUCCCAUGCUAUUCUCAUGAUAGUGAAUAACUCUCAGGUUCUGGGGAGCAAGUGCAUCAGCUUCCACUGUCCUGGAGGCAAUCUCCUCUCUGUGCCGGACUGCCUAUGCCUUCAAGUGCACACUGAUGCUCAGGUGCCAGAGUCAUGGCUGCACUGCUGGGUCCAGCUGGUGUUGUAAUGCCGCAGUCUUCUGUGUAGAUGUGGAGGACUGUAAGUGGGGUCCCAGGGAUGUGGUGAUGUGGGGGCUAUUGGGACUCAGGGCAAGAUGCACUCA
rnacentral:lncRNA from 1 species